GGGGGGGGGGGGGGGGGAACUGCAUACCGUCUCCUUUAUAAAACAAAGUGGUCUAUCACCGGCCCCGGAUUCACACACAGUGACAAAAAAGAGUGUGCUUUCAUAUGCUAAUUCUACUUGGUUCAAGCUUAUUUGACGGCAGUCUGUAAAUCCGGUUUAUGCUCCGCCAAUUGACUGUUCAAGUUAGAAAAUACGCCAGCCUGAAAGCGCAGGAAGUUGCUGUUCCAAAUUGAUCUUAGAGUCAUGAAAAUCCUCGAAAAGUAAUAUUCUCGGGUUUUCCCUUUUUAAAUGUAUUAUCAAUCACUUUAAAAAAAAAAAUCUACAUAUCAGCCCUGAUCAGAAUUAGGCCUUUACCCUUCAGCAUGUGUGUGCUGAGAAUCAUCUGUUUAAUAAAGAAUCAAUUAAAAAAAUAUAUAUACAUUUUAAAAAAUCUGUGUGCCAGUGCAGUUGACUGAGGAGAGAGAGAGAUGUUUCAGCAGCAGGUAGAAAUAUAAAAUAACGCUAGGCUAACUAAAUAGCCAAUUCAAAACAUAACUAGCCAUGCUACAGGUUAUCUCGCUAGUUAGCGUUUUUUUUGUUUCGUUUGUCGCUAUAGACCUAAGCAUUAAUGUCGUUGACUCCAAUGGUUCUGUUGAGAAAUACAUCUGACACCGUUAUAUGAAAGCUGGGAUUCCCCUCUAUUAAAGGCUACGUAAUACCAACAAAUGUCUAAGAAUAGCCUAAUUGAAAAAUAGCUUCCAUGGUCUGCAUACAUAUAAGGUUAUUGAUAACCAUGUCUCAGUUAGCUACCUUCCUUUUGAAGUAACCGAAUUCAUCCAUUUUAUCCCUGAUUCAUUGAACGAGGAAAUAAUUAUAUAAAGACAUAAAAGUAUCUGGCUGUAAUAUUGUAACCUUGUAUAUUAGGGGUGGCCAACCAUCGUCCAGGAGAGCUACUGGGGGUGCAGGCUUUUAUUCCAGCCCUGCUCUAAUACUCCACACUGUAGCCUAAACAUCAGCCCUGCUCUAAUACUCCACACUGUAGCCUAAACAUCAGCUGCUCAACAGGACCUUGCUAUAAGCAGACUCGGAUGUGUUUCAGGGCUGCCUGCAUGCCCAGUAGCUCUCCAGAUGGAAGGUUGACCACACGUGUUUUAUACAGUAGUCCAACAAUAAAGUUAUUCUACUUUGUUGGGGGUUAAGUGCCUUGAUCAAAGGGCACAACGGCAGGAGAUAGUAGGCCAACAUGGAAUCAGAGACCAGUAACCUUCUAGUGUCAAUACCACAUUUAUUCAGACUUUUAAAUGUAGGCUAUAUAGAGACGCUACCAAUUAUCGGUCAUGGAAAUUUGCUUAAAAGUUAUCCGAAGUCAUGAAAAAGUCAUAAAAUUCCAUCUGUCAAAAUUGUGCAUGAACCUUUAACAGUGAAUAAUCAGAGGUCUCUGUCGCAUCAUUUCAUUUAGGAAUUUUGCUGAACAUAUUAAAAUGGAUGGACUUGGCAAAAUACAGCUCCUGCACCUCUUUCAUCCCAAGUCAAGCACUGUGGGUAGUAGAGUUGUAAUAGGUCGUUAUCAAUAGAAACGGAACAAUACGGUGCAGAGCGUUCCCUUUUACCUGCCAGGUGAGGCGAGGAGACUCCCAGCUCAGCUCAAACCAUGGACAACUCCGUGCCGGUUAAGCGAUUCCAAGGGAUUCAACUAUUUGGUUGUAACAUCAUCACCUCGUAAAGACCAUAGUCUGAACUAUAAAUGUGUCCUUGACCCCUAGCGGCUAAAUCGAACGUGCUGCACCGUAUUGUGAUGUUUUAUUGGUAACGGCCAAUUGAAUGAAUACUAGAAAUCUUUCUUUUAUUUAAAAAAAUAACUCUGUUUUUUGUUUUUGUUUAUUUAAAAGUAUUUUAUAGUUUGGGCCAAGACUUGGCCAUGAAUGGAGCAUUGAGAACCCCAAAAACAUUCAACAGAAAAGACAAAUACAGAAGCACAACAACCAUCCCCCCCUUGAACAUCAGUGUUACCUUGACAACUGCUAGUUACCCUCAGGAAUGGUUCUGCUUAGCGUUGCAAAAUUCCUGAAAUCUUUCCCAGAAUUCCUGGGGUUAUUCUCCAGAAAUUCAGGUUGGAGGAUUUUGCAACCCUAGUUAAAAUAAGAGGAGAGAAAUUGGCUUUCCCUUUAUUCAACCAAUAAUAAUAGUAUAAAACAACCUACUGUACUCCAUAUCAGACCGUAGUGUUUAAUACAUAAACAGUAGACAGUCUUUGAUUUGAUGUUUUGUUUUGUUGAUAUAUUGGUUCUUAGCCCCCCCUUGUGCAUACGGCUGGCUGUAUAUUGCAUCUGCUAAAUGUGGUAACUAGUGAAAGAUGUUGUUAGAUUUUGGGAUCCCUUAAUACCCUCAGAUUUGUAUAUUAGCCAAUUGAUCUACUGAAGGGAGAAAAAAAAAUCGCUACACUUUUUAUUUGUCAUUGCUAAUAUCUUUUCCGCACAAGGCAUGUAUAUACUGUGUAAGUGCAGAAUUUUGGUAAUACACAUUUUGACAAGUUUUUAUUUUAUUUUAUUUGACCAUUUUCCAAAUCUCAUCUUUAAUUUAUUUGAUUUCAAAAUACAAUUUAAUUGAGGAGGACACUGGUUUGUUGUAGUGUUGGUGGCAUGCUCUGCUGCAGAUCUGAAAGGUGUUGUUGGAGAAACGAGUGUCAGGGGUCAAUAGGUAAAGUUAGGAAAACCCACCACACAUUGUUAGCUAGCUUGUUAGCUAGCUUUGUUAGCUAACUGUUUAGCUAGGUUCAUUAGCUAGCUCCAACACCUCACGUCGUUAGCUAGCUCGCUAGCUAGUUUUGUUAGCUAACUGUUUAGCUAGGUUCAUUAGCUAGCUCCAACACCACAUUUUGUUAGCUAUUUUAUUAGCUAGCUUUGUUAGCUUACUGUUUAACUAGGUUCAUUAGCUAGCUCCAACACCUCACGUCGUUAGCUAGCUCGUUAGCUAGUUUUGUUAGCUAACUGUUUAGCUAGGUUCAUUAGCUAGCUCCAACACCACACUUUGUUAGCUAUUUUAUUAGCUAGCUUUGUUAGCUAGCUCCAACAAAAAUCGGGUUGAUCUUUCACAGUCACUACUAGCGAUUAUAUCAUGUUGUCAUUAUCACUUCUGGUAAUAAUAAAGCAUUUACACACGAUAUCCAGAUUGAAAGUUUCUGAACAAUAUCAUUAGAUUCAUACUUUCAAGGUUACAGAAUCAAUGGGGUUAAAGGUCACCCAUUACACAGUGAUUUUUUUUCUAGAAUGUUUUAUAUGACACGACACAAUGUAGAUUAUAUAAGAACCAAUAGUUGACACAUUAUAGAUUCCAACGUAUCAUUAAAACCAAGCUGAAAGUCUUCAUUUAGAUGUAGAGACACGUUUAGUGUGUAGCAGAGACUGGAUGUUCACAGGUCACAAUAGGAACAUAAUAAGGAGGCAAAUUUAGCCAAAAAACUCCCAGGUUUUACUGAAAUGCCGGUUGUAAAGAUUCCCAGAAUCAGGAGGGAAGAAGCAGAAAAUCCAGAAUAUUCCAACCAGGAUUUAUUGAAAACCUGGGGGGGAAAAAAAUAAUUGGGGGGGGAAUUACAAAUAAUCUUGAACCAUUGUAACAUACUGUACCUACAAAUACAGGCCUUGUAAUACAGGCCAUAAAUCACUCUUUAUCGGCCUGAGUUAGGACUGCCUAAUGUUGUUUUUUAAGCAUUUUAUGUUACGUUGAAAUCUGAUGUUUAGGAAUUGGAUUUGCUAUAGUCAUAUUUUGCUGUCAAUAUUUCUCACUCUGGGCAUUAAAACACAUUGAACAUUGCUGAGGUGAAACGUAUGUUGCUGCAGAAAGUGCCUCGAUCCCAAAUGAACUCCUCACAGGGUUCACUUACCCCAUUAAUCUCAUCAUCUGUCUGGAGGAACUGCAAAACUCUAUGGCUGUUUACACACGCAGCCCAUUUCCUGAUAUUUUGCUCAAUUAUAAGGCAAAAUACCCGAUCUGAUUGGUCAAAAGACCAACUACUGACUAAAACGAUCAGAACCUGGCUGCCUGUGUAAACGCAGCCUUUAUGACAAGCUUAUAAGAAAAUGGUGUAGUCACCAUUAGGCUGGCUAGACAGACUCUGUACCCAUUAGGCUGGCUAGACAGACUCUGUACCCAUUAGGCUGGCUAGACAGACUCUGUACCCAUUAGGCUGGCUAGACAGACUCUGUACACAUUAGGCUGGCUAGACAGACUCUGUACCCAUUAGGCUGGCUAGACAGACUCUGUACCCAUUAGGCUGGCUAGACAGAUCCUGUACCCCAUAGGCUGGCUAGACAGACUCUGUACCCAUUAGGCUGGCUAGACAGACUCUGUACCCAUUAGGCUGGCUAGACAGACUCUGUACACAUUAGGCUGGCUAGACAGACUCUGUACCCAUUAGGCUGGCUAGACAGACUCUGUACCCAUUAGGCUGGCUAGACAGACUCUGUACCCAUUAGGCUGGCUAGACAGACUCUAUACUCCAUAGCCUGGUUAAUGAUGAUACGUUUACAGUCCAUAUCUUUCUUCUUUUGUCCAUUAUCCGUAAAUCGUUGAUGAUGAUAAAACUUGUAUGAGAAUAAAGAAGCAGCUCUGAAGUACCA